AGUGAACGCUGGCGGUAGGCCUAACACAUGCAAGUCGACCGGCAGCACAGUAAGAGCUUGCUCUUACGGGUGGCGAGUGGCGGACGGGUGAGGAAUACAUCGGAAUCUACUUUUUCGUGGGGGAUAACGUAGGGAAACUUACGCUAAUACCGCAUACGACCUACGGGUGAAAGCAGGGGAUCUUCGGACCUUGCGCGAUUCAAUGAGCCGAUGUCGGAUUAGCUAGUUGGCGGGGUAAAGGCCCACCAAGGCGACGAUCCGUAGCUGGUCUGAGAGGAUGAUCAGCCACACUGGAACAGAGACACGGUCCACACUCCUACGGGAGGCAGCAGUGAGGAAUAUUGCACAAUGGGCGCAAGCCGGAUCCAGCCAUACCGCGUGGGUGAAGAAGGCCUUCGGGUGGUAAAGCCAUUUUGUUGAGAAAGAAAAGCAGCAGGUUAAUACCCCGCUGUUCUGACGGUACCCAAAGAAUAAGCACCGGCUAACUUCGUG
rnacentral:rRNA from 1 species